GGGGGCGGGGAGCUCUGCAGGCCGCUGUGGUGCAGGGGUGCGCGAGGGCGGGCGUCGCGGCUACCGUCUCACCUCCAUCCCGACGGCUGCGAGGCAGAAAGCGAAAGCGGACACGGGCUCUCGGGCUGGAGAGCCCAACCUGGCCCCCGCAAUUGGGAGGCAAGGGAGAGGCAGGGAGAACUUUCUUUCUCUCUUUAGUGAGUUCUCAUCUCCUCCCACCCCAAGAUAGUCAAGAUUUUGGGUGGGAGCAUAACGAUGGCAUUGGGCUUGCUUUUUCUAAAUCUUAGAAGAUUUUGGGCCGAGUGAGGACUGUGGAGGCUACCAGAUGCCCACCUGUCGGAGGCCACCAGGCUGCCCUGUCCUGGGGCGACCCCACUCCUCACAACACCAGGACCCGAGACCGCUCCGGAGACCAGGGGGAAACCAGCGGAAUCUUCUGGCCUUUCGGAGCGUGCCCUCCUCCCGCCACGCACCGGGCUGCCUGCGCGAGAUCAACAAGUCGGGCUGAGCUUCGGCUCCGCGCUCGCCGCGAUUCUGUCCCGCACUUCGGAGCGCGGCGAGUGGCACCGAGGCGGGACGGCGCCACCUGCGGGUCGGAAACGCGCGCGGCUUAACCCCUCCGUGCCCGGCCCGGCCCUGGCUCAGGCCGCGGGGCCCACCCGGGCUGCUUGACUGCGUCCUGGCCACCACGAGGCUGAGCGCCUACUGCAUGCAUGCGCUGCACGUAGGACGGGCGUGGGAGAUACAGUUGCGAAGCCAACUAGCCUCUGGGUCGCCGGGCUCCCUGGAGAGCGACUGUAAACAGAAUUGGAAGACUAUGUCAGACAGGCUAGAAGCUGGGAGGAUGGGAAAGCUGGAGAAGGACAAAAUCAAAUUCUAGAUUCUGGAGGAAGGUGGAUAUUACACCAAUUAACAAACCAACAGGCAAAAGAGGAGAAAGCUUCGGUCAAUCAUGAGUACUACUGGGGAGUCAUGGGAGCAGGGGAGGCCAUGCUGAGAGCGUAACCCAGGAGCUCAGCAGGGCCUCUCAGAAGUGAGGACAGACUCUACCACCAUGGAGGACUGACCAGAAUGUGGGUAGCAUCUGCUAGUGGGGGACCAGAUUAAAUAGUGUGGAAGAAGGAAGACCACUUGCCCUUGUUGGCCUGGCCUGGCCUCUUGCUUGAAGCGUUGGACGAUGAUGAUGACGAUGACGACGAAGACGAUUCCUCCACUGAAAACAGAAGCAGCAGCCAUUUCAGGUUUCCAUCCUGGACCAAGGACCUUCAAGUCUCCAAGAACUUGCAGAUUUUUGGUGCAGGAUUGAUGACUACUGAGGCACCUCCAGGACCAGUCAGCUCCCGGAUUCCCAGCCUCGGUGUUGAGACUAUUUCAGAGUGAGCUGAUGACAUGCAUUCUCUAAUAUAUUUGGUAUAUAAAAUGUUUCAUAUUUAAUAUAGAAAAUGUGGGAUCCCAUCAAUUCUGUUCCUCCAGAAAAUUCCAGCUUACAGAGGACACAUGUGCACACCUGUGUGUGUGUGUCCUGUGGAGGUCAGAGGUCAGCCAUGGGCUUGUUCCUUGGAUGGCAUCCAUCUAUCUAGUUAUUUUAUUUUAUUUUAUUUUAUUUUAUUUUAUUUUAUUUUAUUUUAUUUUGAGCUAGCCUCUCUGAUUGACUGGGAACUCUCCAAGCAGGCUAGGCUGGCUGGCUAGUGAGCCCCAGAGAUCCACCUGCCUCUGCCGCCCCGCCCUGGGAAUAAAAACAUUCACUGCCCUGCCUGUUUUGUUGUUUGGUUGUUUUGUUUUGUUUUGUUUUGUUUUGUUUUAACGUGUAUUCUGGGGGUUGAACUCCGGUGCUUGCGUUUGUGAGGCAAGUGCUUUGCUGACAGCCCUGUCCCUAGGCCCACUUAUUCUGAAUUCCUCGUCCCCCCACAUCCCCCCAGAGCAUACUCCCUACCUCAUAGGCAGCAGCUGUUAUCUACUGAGUGGAUAGUAUGUUCUUGGGUUUUUUUUUUUCCUGUGUGAUUUUGAAAAACAAUUCAUAGCUUUUUGCUGUUGUUA
rnacentral:lncRNA from 1 species